ACACAUGCAAGUCGAGCGGCAGCGGGACCUUCGGGUCGCCGGCGAGCGGCGGACGGGUGAGUAAUGCCUAGGAAUCUGCCUGUUAGUGGGGGAUAACGCGGGGCAAACUCGCGCUAAUACCGCAUACGUCCUACGGGAGAAAGUGGGGGACCUUCGGGCCUCCCGCUAACAGAUGAGCCUAGGUCGGAUUAGCUAGUUGGUGGGGUAAAGGCCCACCAAGGCGACGAUCCGUAACUGGUCUGAGAGGAUGAUCAGUCACACUGGAACUGAGACACGGUCCAGACUCCUACGGGAGGCAGCAGUGGGGAAUAUUGGACAAUGGGCGAAAGCCUGAUCCAGCCAUGCCGCGUGUGUGAAGAAGGUCUUCGGAUUGUAAAGCACUUUAAGUUGGGAGGAAGGGCGCUCGGUGAAUACCCAGGCGUCUUGACGUUACCGACAGAAUAAGCACCGGCUAACUUCGUGCCAGCAGCCGCGGUAAUACGAAGGGUGCAAGCGUUAAUCGGAAUUACUGGGCGUAAAGCGCGCGUAGGUGGUUCGGCAAGUUGGAUGUGAAAGCCCCGGGCUCAACCUGGGAACCGCAUCCAAAACUACUGGGCUAGAGUACGGUAGAGGGUGGUGGAAUUUCCUGUGUAGCGAUGAAAUGCGUAGAUAUGGGAAGGAACACCAGUGGCGAAGAGCGACCACCUGGACCGAUACUGACACUGAGGUGCGAAAGCGUGAGGAGCAAACAGGAUUAGAUACCCUGGUAGUCCACGCCGUAGACGAUCUCGACUAGCCUUUGGGCUCCUUGAGAGCUUAGUGGCGCACCUAACGCAUUAAGUCGACCGCCUGGGGAGUACGGCCGCAAGGUUAAAACUCAAAUGAAUUGACGGGGGCCCGCACAAGCGGUGGAGCAUGUGGUUUAAUUCGAAGCAACGCGAAGAACCUUACCUGGCCUUGACAUCCUGCGAACUUUCAAGAGAUUGAUUGGUGCCUUCGGGAGCGCAAAGACAGGUGCUGCAUGGCUGUCGUCACCUCGUGUCGUGAAAUGUUGGGUUAAUUCCCGUAACGAGCGCAACCCUUGUCCUUAGUUACCAGCGAUUCGGUCGGGCACUCUAAGGAGACUGCCGGUGACAAACCGGAAGAAAGGUGGGGAUGACGUCAAGUCAUCAUGGCCCUUACGGCCAGGGCUACACACGUGCUACAAUGGUCGGUACAAAGGGUUGCCAAGUCGCGGGGCGAAGCUAAUCCCAGAAAACCAAUCGUAGUCCGGAUCGCAGUCUGCAACUCGAGUGCGUGAAGUGGGAAUCGCUGUAAUCGCGAAUCAGAAUGUCGCGGUGAAUACGUUCCCGGGCCUUGUACACACCGCCCGUCACACCAUGGGAGUGGGUUGCUCCAGAAGUAGCUAGUCUAACCCUCGGGAGGACGGUACCACG
rnacentral:rRNA from 1 species